GAUUCUCUUCUAUCUUAUGUUUAUGUUCUUUUUUUAUACUUACAUCAUGUUCCAUUACAGCUGAAUUCAGUGGGCCCUCUAUUAAAACUUUGUUUGGUUGGGUGUAAUGAGUUAUUACAGCCUCAUUCAAUAUGGCCUUAUUCAACGCAAAAGUGUCGUUUACAAUUCGACACCCUCCCCACGGAAUAGGGAUUCAACGAAUGGCUGGGUAAAAAAUUAUGUUGAGACUUUCAACUUUACCCUUCUCUUUCUCACGUCUGAAGCAAUCUUUUCUUUUUUCAUUCUUCUUCCUAUUUUAUUCCAAACUUGUCUCCCUCUUUUUCACGCUUCUGUUAUCACCAACUCUAUCUCCCUUAGAUAAACCCUAACAAGGCCUUCAAUUAAGAUUCAUUUUUUUAACUCCAACCCUUAACAAGGCUUUCGAUUGAGAUGGAAACUUGAGAAGUGAAACAAUCGGCAGUCCUCCCUCAGAAACAAGCACAUUAUGAUUGAUCUUGGCAUCGAUAAUAACAAGAUUAACUGGGCUCUCAAGGACAAACAGGAGGUCAGAGACAUCAUUGGGACUAUAUACCGUGAGGCAUGGAAAGGCCGUGGUUUGAAAGAUUACUCGAAAAAGUACUGCUAUUGAGUAUUCUUCCAACAUGUAGUUGAUCAGAAUGUAAAUUGUAUGUAGAUAUGUGUGUCAUUUGCAAUGUUUGGUUGCAUGAAUGUGGAGGAUAAUCCAAUUUGAGAUGAAACUUUGAAAUAUAUAUUUUAUGUGCUCUUUUGAUGCUUGUUUACAGUAUAGCACCUUAGCUUGGAGUGACUUUCCUUACAGUUGUUUGAUAAGGAACAAGUGUUUUAAUUUAACUAUAUAAAAAUAUAAAUGAUAUGUUUAUAAAGA